AAAAACUUAAAACAAUUAUUUCCGAAAUCUUCGUUAUAUAAUCUUUGCAACAAUAAUAAUGGUGUAAACGGGACUUUGUUUUUAUUUUCAACAGGAAAGAUAACUUCUUUUUUAGUGACAGUAACGAAAACUCCCCUCUCCACAAUAAUUAUAAGAUUGUGACUGCCGAUUUUAUUAUUUCUAGCGUGACGGAUACAAGCGUUAAAGUGAGAGAGAUUUUCCUACAUUAUUUGAAGCGUGAAGUUUUUAUUAUUUGAAGCGUAAAGUUUUUAUUAUUUGAAGCGUGAAGUUUUUAUUAUUUGAAGCGUGAAGAUUUUAUUAUUUCAAGUGUGACGGGAGUCAAGCGUCGAUGCGAGAGAGACCGUCACCUGAAAAGGCCAUGUGCUGUGCGAUUAUAAACAAGAAGCCGACGUCAGACAAAGCUUAAGCUUCCUAGGAUGAAAAUCAACAUGAUUUGUACUCCGGCAAUGACAUGGCACUCAGAAGAAAGCUGGCUGAAGUGAAUGUGGAGAAGAACAAUGGAACAAGAGAGAUUCCAGCUGGGUUGGAUUAGCUGGGCAUCAGCAGGGGCAUUAGCCAAAGACAGAGGCAGAUCAUGAGAUGUAUGGAUAUUGUCCUAAGUAAGAACUAACCUGGCAAUGUUGGAAUGAAAUUUACAGGUAGAAGGGAAUCAAGCGUUGAAGCGAGAGAGAUCGUCACCUGAAAAGGCCAUGUGCCCUGUUGGCUGUUGCGAAUAUGAAUGUAAACAAAAUGAAAGAAAGUCCAGCUAUAGGCUUUUUAAAAGCGAUUUUGUAUGUCAAUCUGCCACUGAUUGAAAGAAAAUUCAAGAUAGAAAAUGGAUCAGCUGAACAUUAAAUUCUGUCUGAAAGUGGUGCAAGAGAUACCUGAUGUUUCAUUUCAAAAUGAAGAAUUUGAUGGUAAGGUUACUGAGGCCUUAAUAAAAAUCAUUUUAACAACGAAAUGCUUUCUUUGAAUGUUAGAAUGGUAAUUAAUAUUGCAACCUAAUUUACGAACCAAAUCCGAAAAUCUUGAGUUUUUUCGGGUUAUUUGUCAAAAAUCAGGUGAAAAGCAUGACCCACCGGGUCAUAAAAAAUAAUCAGGUUACGGGUUUAAAAAUCGGGUGAGUUGGCAACUAUGCAUAACCCAUGUUAGCGGGAUAUGCAUUUUUUUCUGCAACAUCUGCAACAUAAAGUCCCAUUCUAACAAAACAAAGAAAGGCGAUUUAUUGUUUAUAUUGAUUGAUCCUUUAAAUCUGGGAGGUGUUCUACAGUGUAGCUGCUAUGCUGCCACUAUGUAAAGCAAUGCUUUUGAUUGUAGAGCUAACCUAGCUGCUACAUAGGGUAACUUAAAUUAGCACAAAUAUUGAAUGCUUAGUACCAAAUUCAAGAUGUCCUUAUUUUGCAACUUCACAGCACACCAGAUUUUAAUUAAGAAUAGGAGAAUACUUUCUACAUCUUACUGAAUUAAGUUAAUUUACAUAUGCAUUUAUUUGAAUGACAUUUUUUUGUUCUGAAUAUUAGUUUCUACUGAUACAAUUUUAUCCCAAAAUGUAGACUUAAUUAGCAGAUAAGCUAGCUGACCAUUCAAUAGAGGUACCAAGACAUUUUUUUACCUAGCUGCUUAUAUGUAUAUACAUAGGUUAGGCACUAUGCUUUUGAACAUAGUCCUGUAGAGGUGAUAUGCUUAUUAUAGCUGUUUGCUGUCUGAUAAGAUAAUAUUCAGUGGAUGUAAAUAUUAAAAUAAAAUACUUUAUAGUCUUUAUUAACAAUAGACAACCUAAGCAUUUGCAAGAAGUAAAAUUCACCUGUGAUGUCAUUAUUUUGUUAGAGCGCUCCAUUACUUUUCAGGAAUGGAGAGUUGCAAAUUUUACCAAUAACGGAAUUUCUUUACGUUCUAAUUUUCCUUUCCAUGCCUCUGCCGUGGGAAGAACUUAGAAAUUUUUUUAGAAGAGUUUCAGAAAUUUUCAGAGUUGAUUUUCACCUUGUGAAAAUGUUAUUGCCCAUGGUAAGAAUCGAACCCGGUACCCUUUGCUUUGUAGUAGGGUACUCAUUUCACUGAGCUAUUUAUUAUCGAAGCUGUUGGGAAACACUGGAUGAGAAUAACUUGGGUACACUUUUUUGGCUUACUUCCUAUAGUAUAUAAAAAAAUAAAUACUACUAAUAUAUAAUGUCUAUUUACACUAUAUUAUAUAAAUAUUCUUUAUUUUAUAUAAACAAACAAUAAAUAAAAGCAUUGAUUAAAAUGGUGGAGUUUAAGAGGGUUAAUAUACUCGUAGCACUCCAUUCCUUAAAGUAAUAUGGGCCUCUGUCUCUUCGAGCUUCGCCUCCAUUUUUUUUAAGGAAUGGAGUGCUACGAGUAUAUUAACCCUUACAUAUAUAUAAAAUACAAGAUUACUGUCUUGAAAUAUAAGCGAUAUCUGGCCGAGGGUAAGAAAACAUGAUAGGAGCGAGGCUUGCCAA